AACCGCGGUUAAACGAAUGGCCCUAGUUGAUAUAGCCACGGCGUAAAGGGUGGUUAGGAGAAACAAUAAUAAAGUAAAAUGGCCCCUCGGCUGUCAUACGCUUCUGGGAGCCCGAAAUCCAAACACGAAAGUUACUUUAAACAAAAUAUCCGACCCCACGAAAACUGAGAAA
rnacentral:rRNA from 1 species